rnacentral:lncRNA from 1 species
GGACAUUUAUACUAUAUGCAAUAUAUAGGAAAAAUUUAUGUAUAGUAUAAAUUUAUAUAUAGUAUAAAUUUAUAUUUUUAUAUAGUAUUAAAUUUAUUUUUAUAUAGUAUAAAUAUGUAUUUCCUCUUUAUAGUAUAUAAGUAUGUAUUCACUAUAUAUGUAAGGAAAUAUAUAUUUAUAUCUAUAAGGAAAUAUAUAUGUAUUAUAUAUCAAUAAGGAAAUAUAUUUAUUAUAUAUCUAUAAGAAAAUAUAUAUGUAUUAUAUCUAUAAGGAAAUAUAUAUAUUCUUUUUUUUUUUUUUUUUCCGUGAAACAGAGUCUCACCCCAUCACCCAGCAUGGAGUGCAGUGGUACAAUCUCGGCUCACUGCAACCUCUGCUUCCCAGGUUCAAGAGAAUGGCGUAAACCUGGGAGGCGGAGCUUGCAGUGAGCUGAGAUCCGGCCACUGCACUCCAGCCUGGGUGACAGAGCGAGACUCCAUCUCAAAAAAAAAAAAAAAAAAAAAAAAUGUAUAUUUCUAAGUAUGUGAUAUGGUUUGGCUCUGGGUUCCCACCCAAAUCUCAUCUUGAAUUGUAAUUUCCAGGAGUUGAGGGAGGCACCUGGUGGGAGGUGAUUGGAUCAGGGGGGCAGUUUUCCCCAUGCCGUUCUCAGUGAGUGAAUUCUCACGAGAUCCGAUGGUGGGAGUUUUUUCCUAUACUCUCACUUCUCUCUCCUGCUGCCUCGUAAAGAAGGUGCCAACUUCCCCUUUGGCCAUGGUUGUAAGUUUCCUGAGACCUCCCCAGCCAUGCGGUAUGGUGAGUCAAUGAACCUCUUUCCUUUAUAAUUAACCAGUCUCAGGGAAGUUCUUUAUAGCAGUGUGAACACAGACUAAUGCAGUAUGUGUGUGUAUAUACAUAUAUAUAUGGAGUGUGUGUGUAUACAUAUAAAUAUACAUUCAUAUAUACAUACAUACACGUGUGUGUCUGUAUGCACAGUACUGGUUCUAUUUCUCUGUAGAAUUUUGAUCCUAAAUGAACUCCAGUUUAUUAUUUGACUUGGCUGUUUCUUAGAUAUGUGACCUUGGGUUUGCUCUUUACCUUCCCUCACUGAGCCUGGCUCUUUCUGGGGUCAUGUGUCUGUCUACUAAGAAAAUGGGAUAAUUGAGCCAGUUCACCUAGUCUUGUCAUAGCUCUCUUGAGCCCAACAAUAUUCACUUAUGAGAUAGACGUUUUGGGUUUGUCAAGGAUUUUUUACUUUGGAUCCUUUGUUCCUGCUCCUUGCCUCCUACUCAACCUAGUUGUGGACCCAUAAUUCACCUGCUUA